UACGGGGGGGGCAAGCGUUGUUCGGAAUUACUGGGCGUAAAGGGUUCGUAGGUGGCUUGCUCAGUCAGACGUGAAAGCCCCAGGCUCAACCUGGGAACUGCACUCGAAACUGUUUAUCUUGAGUGCCGGAGAGGAAAGCGGAAUACCUGGUGUAGAGGUGAAAUUCGUAGAUAUCAGGUGGAACACCAGUGGCGAAGGCGGCUUUCUGGACGGUAACUGACGCUGAGACGCGAAAGCGUGGGGAGCAAACAGG
rnacentral:rRNA from 1 species